rnacentral:rRNA from 1 species
GACGAACGCUGGCGGCGUGCCUAAUACAUGCAAGUAGGACGCAGUUGCGAACGGGUGAGUAACGCGUAGGUAACUGCCUAGGAGAGGGGGAUAACUAUUGGAAACGAUAGCUAAUACCGCAUACUAGUAGAUGGACCUGCGUUGUAUUAGCUAGUAGGUAGGGUAAUGGCCUACCUAGGCGACGAUACAUAGCCGACCUGGGAGGGUUAUCGGCCACCCUUGGACUUGGACACGGCCCAGACUCCUACCGGAGGCAGCCGUAGGGGAUCUUCGGCAAUUGGGGGAACCCUGACCGCGCAACGCCGCGUGAGUGAAUAAGGUUUUCGGAUCGUAAAGCUCUUUUGUUAAGGAAGCGGUACUUAACCAGAAAGGGACGGCUAACUACGUGCCAGCAGCCGCGGUAAUAC